rnacentral:rRNA from 1 species
ACAUGUAUACAAAAUAGUGUUAAUGCACUAGAUCCCUUUAGAACUUUGCAGUUAAUCAUGCUCAGGCUAGAGUAGUACUGGGAUGGGUGACCGCCCAGGAAGUCCUAGUAUUUUACAUGCC